rnacentral:lncRNA from 1 species
UUAAUUUGGUCACAAAUUGAUGAUUUAGUCCCCCACUUAUUAUUUUUUGAUCACAAAUCAAAAAUUUUAUAUCACAAAUUAUUUUACGGUCACAAUUCAAAAAUUUUAUAAGUCACAGUUUGUUCAUCGGUCACAAAUCGAAAAAUUUAUAAGUCGCGAUUUAUUUGUUGGUCACAAAUUAUAAAUAUUACAAGUCACAACUUAUUAUACAGUCACAAAUUAUCGGUCACAGAUUAACAAUUUUUUAGGUCACACAUUAUUUUUCGAUCGCAAUUUAUUUUUUUCAUUUGUCACAUAUUAUUUAUUGGUCACAGAUUAACCAAUUUAAUGGUCACAAUCAACCAAAUAAUUUAUGACCACCACCAAUACUAAUGAAAACCUCCGCAUUCGACACCACCACCACUGUUGCUGCCAGAUUAUUGCCACCACCUAAGAGCAACACUGAAAAACAAAUCGCCAAAACCACCAACACAGAUCCAUCGAACUGCAACCGCCAUCAACCAUUUGCGAUCCCCGUUGUGAUCUGUAACCCCCACCAUACCCGCAAUCGCCAUCAACCACUGCACCUGGCUAGAUCCACCAUCGCAGCCCACCGUCACAUACCACCUAUCGCUAGAGUCAUCGUCCAAUAGCCAUUAGCAAAAAAUAAAAAAUAAAAAAACCAUCGCAGCCGCCAUCAAUCACUGCACCUCACUGUCGUUGUCACCACCGCAGGUCCACCCUCAAACACCACCGAUCUCUAGAGCCACCAUCCAACAACCAAUUGCAAAAAAAAAAAAAAAAAAAAAAAAAAAAAAAAAGGGGGCUACUCACAGAAACGAGCUCCGCUUUGGUCUUCACGGACAGCAGCAGCAGCGGUCUGCUUUAUUUGGAAGGCGAUUGACGCUUCUUCUGGUGGGCGACGCUGUGAAUGGCUUCUGUGCAAAGGAGGAGAGAAGGUGAAGAGAUGAAUAACAUCGGCUACUGGGGAGGAUGAGCGAGAGAAGACGAAGAGAGAGAGAGAGAGAGAGAGAGAGAGAGAGAGAGUUAUAGGGUUUGGGAUAUAAAAUGUAUAUUUAACAUUAAUAUUUAAAUAUGCUAUAUUUGAUUUUUGAAAGAUUAAAGUUCCCAUAUGAUUUUAGAAUUCAUGAUUUUAAUGUUAGGAUUUUGUGUAAUUACCACUAUAUCUAAUCGAAUUCUUGGCCCACUUAACAAAAGAAAAGGGAAAAACACCAUUUGAAUAGUCCUUUUGGCCAAUGCAAAUCACUUUUUUGGUAAGUGUUUAUUUAUAAAUUUGUUGGGAAUUUAUUUAAUCAGGGGAAAUUAAACAAAAUUUUCAAUUCUCAUCAAAUAUCUUCUUUGUGCUUAAAUAGAAAUUAUGAUAGAAGGUUAUAUCUUUGUUGAAUUAUGCAAACUCAAUUAAUUAAUUGGUAAAUCUUGUUCUUCUAUGUUAUACAUGUGACAGAAAAUGUCACGUGGUAUGACAAAAAUUAAAUUUGUUCGUCUAUCGUGAAACUAUAAUCAUUUCAUCACUAUGAUCUGAUCAAUUACGAGAUAUGUAUAUGUGUCAAUCUUAAUAUCAAUGUUAUUUUUCAUUCCACUGUUGAGUCAAUAUAAGUCAAAAUUCCUUUUCGAUUUAUGAGUAUACUAGGAUCAAGGAUUUCGUUAUCGACUUAAUUGAAUGAAAUAUAGAUCAUAAUCUCUUAUUAUCUAAGAAUAACGAAUCCUCUAUUGAUCGUUAACAAUUUUCAUAUGAUUCUUGACAUAGCCGAACAAUGUCAUAUUGGCUGCCCUUGGCAGAGCAACAUUCAAUAUCACCAAAGUAUGUCUGUCUUCGUAUAAAGCAUUAUAAUGAUCUCUAAUCGAAGGACUAAUUCCACUCCUAAACGUUAGAGAUUAACCGCUGACAUUCAAGAUAUUUAUCUAUGUAGAAUAUCUCCAAUGGGACUCCAAUGUUUGUUCCAUAACAAAAUAUUCACGUGUUCGUUUAAGUAUCAUUACACUUUAGCAUGCGAGAUAAGCUAUUACAUGACAAGCAAGAAAUGCCACAAGUGAUGAUCUAUUUAUAGUAACGAUAUCCGUAUCUCGUUAUUACUUACAAUCACGGAUAAUUUAAUAUUCAUGUACUUCACAAUCACAACUUCUUGUAAUUAACAAAUUACCAGAACUUGAAUUACAGACUCUACUAUUUAUUUUAAUUGAGUAUUAAUUAAAUAAUGGAUAUGCCAUAAAAUUGCAUCAAUUAUAUAUAUUAAGAGAGUGUUUGACACCUAUUUUUAUAGAAAAGUGAAUUUUAGAAUAGUAGAUUGAUGGAGAAUGUGUGGAUGAAAAAUAAGGAUUUUUUUUUAUUUACGUAUAAUGUUAUUUUAAUAAAGAAUAUGUGGUUAAAAAGAAGAGAGAGAAAAAUGUAUUUUGAUAAAAAUAAUAAUUAAACGGGCCUUAAAAGUGUUUGUCUAAAGUUGAUUGGAUUUAAGAGAUAACGCUUACAAAAUUACGCACUAUUUCUUAGUUUAUUUUUGUAUUUAAUCAAUCCAUCAGUCAAAAGGUUCCUUGAUUUUGCCUAUUGCUCUUGCAUUUCGUUACGGGAAUGACCUCUAUCUAUUCUCUACGAGGGAUAGCAACAACUUGUAGGUUCGAGAGAUUCGUCGGUGGAAGAGAAGGGAUGAGAAGUUUAACAUGUUAGUUAAGCUCUACUUAUCUUUUUUAUUAAGAUAAGAUCAAAGCUUAUAAUCUUUUAACAAGAAUUCAAGAGUCUAAUUUUGAGUCGGUAGACCGAGCCUUCUACUUCAAUUAUGGCUUACGUUGUUAUUAUGGAUGAUUUGAUUAUCUUAUAUUGUGAAAAUUGUUGUUGUGUUUCUUGUUUUAUUUCCAUCGUCAAUAAAUCUUGUUACUCUAUUGUAAAAACUCGGGGCUUCAUGUAAUGAUCAUUGUUCUAAAAAGCGUAAUAUAUGGCGAUGCUUGAAGGUCAAGCUUUAGUUGAUGUGCACUUAGACGAGGUUUAAGGGUAAAAAAGCGUAAAAAAAAAAAACGUUUUCUUAUUUUAAUAUUAUUUUAAAUUUUUAAUCAAUUUAAAAAUCAUUUAACAAUACAAUAUAGCACCAAAUGUUUAAAGAACUUAGUAAAAUAAAUAUAUUUUAGAACAAUAAACAAAAUGUAUUAUAAUAAUACUAAUUGAACUAUACAGAGAGUUUUAAACUUUUAUUAAUUAGUAAAAGAUAGAAAAAUGAUUAAUUAACUUAAUAAAAUAUACGUAACUAUUUAUAUAUUAGUACAAUAGGCAACAACCAAACCAAAGAUACAUUAAGUUUACAAUAAAAUUAUUUGAGUUGCACUCUAUAAAUUAAUGGACUAAUAAGUGGGUAAUCAACUUUUCGAACCUUUUAAUUUGUCGGCAGUUGGUUGGACAUUUUAUAAUUAUUAAUUUUUGGGUCUUUCAAUCGAAUUAACAUAAAAGUUGAAAAAUUUAUGUUGUAGUAAAAAAAGAAAUCUAAAAAUAUUAAUAAUGUGCAUCAAGGCGUGCAUAUGGGAGUCUAGGUGCACCUUAAGGCGGUCAAUACUAUUAACGGUUAAGCCCCUGUUUGAUAAAUGGGUGGUUGAAAAAGAAGGAAAAAUUUUCGAUUUACGUGUAAUAUUAUUUUAUGAAAGAUUGUGUGAUUGAAAAUAGGAGAGAGAAAAAUGUAAUGUAAUGUCAGGGGACGGCAGUGCGCGCUAUUCAGGCUCUGGUGAUGACAAAGAUAAAGAAAGAUGGCGAAUCUUGCUCGAUAAGAAAACUUGAACUUGUUCUAGACGUGACUAUUUUAUUGUUGAUAUAACUAUGUUUAUACUAUAUUUAAGAAGGGAAAAAAAAUAUAUAAUUAUGAAUAAUAUUUCAACGCGUUAAUGCGUUUGACUGGAAAAAUGAAUGGAAAUUUUAUUACGUACAGUAUCUGAUGCAAGAGGUACAUCCAUAAUUUUCAUUUUCUAUAAUUAAUCAGCGGCAGCCCAUGCGGCAUAUGCUGCCGUGUGCAUCACCGCCUUUAUUUAGAGCCACCCACAUCGCCUCUUACUUGUACUUCGUUCUGCAACCAGAAUUAUUCUGCGGUUUCCCUUUCAGAUACGCCAUAUUAUCUGAACAUAUUAUAUAAAACCUAUUUGUAUAUAUUCAUAUUUUCAUAGUUUAGGUUUUUAAUUUCUUUUUAGAUUAGAAGAAAAUCGUCAUGUCUUCAGCAGAUGAAGUAGUGGAUCUUCAGGGUCUCUCAAUCCAAGAAGAGGUUCGAAUUUUUCGACCUAAUUUUUUAUGGGCAUUCCAAGAAAUGAUUUAACUGAAAGCUGGAAUUUUUGUUCUGCGGGUUUAAUUUGGUUUCACGAUGUAGUUUUUCUUGUUUUAGAUCGUUUGAAUGAAAAUAAUGAGUUUUUUUAUGCGGUUUUGAUCUGAUUGGAUCUUUUUUUGCUUUAAAUCGUUAAAAUUAGUUAGAAAGAUCAAUUUCUUUGUAUCAGAGGUGAAAGAGAAUAUAUAAAGAUUUGGUUUCAAUACUGUUGUUGUCCAGUUGAAUUUUCUUUUGGAGUUUUUGUUUACUGGUUUUCUAAAAAUCUGUCUUGAUUUUGCUUAAUAUUUCAACACAUUUUCGUUGGAAAAUAUUUGCUUAGAUAUAAUCUAUUAAUCAUAAAUGGUAAGAUAUUUAUUACCUUGGGAUGUGAAUCUAUUGUCGGUGUUAGUAUUUUUCGAUCUUUAGAUGCUUUCGUUUGUUAAUUUGUUUUUCACCAUUCAUAUGUUUGGGGGUCUUUAGUUCAACCUAAAAGAAUUAUGUUUGCCUUUUCUGAAUAGAUAUUUGGAUUCGUUUUGUACAUUGACUGGUUUAAAGUUGUGAAUUUCAGUGUAAAAUGGAGGGAACUUGUACAGCAGCACCAGAGGACAUUAACCAAGUUGCGGCUGAGACUAACAAUACUAACAACACUAAUCAUCAUGGUUUUUGUGCAAUAUGUUUGAAUAAGAUAGUUCUUGCAGAAACUGCUCUCGUAAAAGGUUGCGAGCAUGCCUACUGGUUUGUCUGAAUCUCGUAGUUAGAUAUUUACUUGUAUUUUUUGUUGCUUUUAUUGUUUGCAUGAAUCAUUAUGAAAUUAUUGCCAUAUACAGUAUAACUGGGCCUAUAGAGUAUGACAAGUGUAAUUCCCCUUGCCUCUGGAUGACAUCUUGGAGAAUAUUUGAAGUUUAUAUUUGAGAUAGUUACUUGAUAUGAAACUUAAGGUGUGUGGUGCACAAAUUAAUAAAAGCUCGGUUUGAAGGUCAUUAUUUGGGAAAACAAUAUCUUGAAUAGUGAUUUUUAGUAUAUGCAGAAUAUUUUAUCGUGUGAAUGCGUGGUUAAAAAUGAGUAGGUAGAAAAAAGAGUUUUCAAAUAAUGGUUGUCUAAUUGGGGCAAAAUAUAACUUGGUGAUGUAUUUGUAAAAUAAAGACAACUAUGAGCUACCAGGCUUCACAUCUUAAUAAAUGUCUUAUCUAAAAGCAUUUUUGGGGUAUUGCUUUAGGCAUUGUAAGAGAAGUAAAAUGGUAGAGAAGUUUUAUUCUGAAUUAAGUAUUAGGUUUUGGAUUCUUUUGGGGGAAGGUAAAAGAAAAUGCAUCAGGAAUUGGGUCAAUACUAAACUCCCACCUAUUUUGAUAGCAGUUGUAUAUUAUUAAAUAUACUAAUCAUAGUUGAACGUGCAACUGAAAUGCUUUAUAAGUGCUAUAAAAAUAAUAUUUGAAGAUGUGAGGAUAUAAAAAAUAAUUAAUCCAAAUUGCUUAUCUGGAAUGAGCUUUUGAUUCAAAGAAAAUAAAAAUCAGUUUGUGAAAACAAUUUAAAUAGGUGACGAAAUCUAUUAUAAUAACCCAUUUAUCAUUUUUGAUUUGAACCGAGUAUUCAGCGAAUGUCAUCCUUUCUUCAUAUUAGCUUAAUAUGCAUUGAAUAUAUCAAUUGAAAUAUUUAUUAUAGAUACGCAUUAUGUCUCCCCAUUUUCCUUCUCUAUAUCUUAACAUUUAUUAAAUAAAUCAAUUGAAAGAAGACUCUAAAAAUAUUCAUCUUUUGUUCCAAAAAAUGUUAAUGAAUUUUAUUUAUUAUUCAAUCAUGUGGAAUGAAUCUGUCGAAUGUAAAAUUGAUCAUCACUAAAUAAGUGACAAAAUAAUUUAUGAUUAUAUUGUUUAAAUGAUUAAGUAAAUCAAAUACAUAUUGAAAACAAAAAGGUAAUGAAUCUAUCAAAUAUGGUUAAAUAAAGUUAAAUAAAUUAAUUACAUAUUGAAAAAUGAAAAGUAAGAUAAUGAUUGUGUCAAAUGUACAUUCAUCAUAUCUAAAUCGUUGACAAAAGAAUUAAUGAUAAUAUUAUUCAAAUGGUUCAAAUGAUUAAUAAAUUAAAUACAUAUUGAAAGACAAAAUAUAGGGUAUUAUUGAAUUAAUUAAAUACAUAUUGAAAAACAAAAAGUUUGAUAUUAUUGAAAUAAUUAAAUUAUUUUAAGGAUAGAAUCGUCCAAAAUAUAUUCUCACUGGAUGUGAUAUUUAAUAUAUUAUAUAGAUUAACCUUAGUAACUAGAUCACGUCCUUCAUUACGAGCAUGCAUACUUGCUUCUGGAGCGAUUCAUUUUGCUGAGGCACUUGGUGCAUUAGCCUGGCUCAUGCUAUUCACAUAAUCUAGCUAUGAAUGGGUAAUAAUAACCGUGCAACCAUAAUCUUCACGUGAAGGUGCAAAACUUUAUUAUAAUAUGAUUUCAACGAUGGGAUUUAGAAGAUCAGCUCAAUGCAUAGUUCUAGAAUUUCUUAGCCCAUUUGACAACCAUUCUUUGAAAACUCUUUUUUCUAUGUACUUUUUUUUGUAUAGGUAUGCAAUUAUUUGUGCAUCACUUCAUUAUAAGUGCAGUGUGAUCUAGCCCUUGUUUGAGCUACAUUAUUUUCAUACGAAUGCAUUUUUGAAUAGUGUAUUGAUGGUAAAUGUGAUUAAAAAAUAAGGAAAAAUUUUGAAUUUGCGUGUAAUAUUAUUUUAUUGAAGAAUGUGUGGUUGAAAUGAUAUCAAAUAACUAUUUAAGAAUGUAUAUAUAUAUAUUUUGAAGAAUGUGGGUCAAACAUGGUCCUAAUAAUAUUUUCGGAUCCGGCUAUUGUAGUAGCGAGUGUUUUGCUUAUAGCUUAUGGCCUAAUCUAGUAUUAGCUGGACAUGAUUUCUUUUGGACGACAUUUUUCAAUAAAAUAAUAUUGUAGUAGCUGGACAUGAUUUCUUUUGGAAAUUCGCUAUUGUAGUAGCUAGUGUUUUGCUUAUAGUUUAUGGCCUAAUCUAGUAUGAACUGGACAUGAUUUCUUUUAGACGAGCAUUUGCAAGAUAUUGGAGAAAAAUGAGCAGUUGCGUUAUCACGACGUUUGGUACUCCCUUGAAGUCGCUCCAAUCUCGUCUUUUAUUAUUUUCUAAAUACAAAUUGAGUAUUUUGCAUAACUCUAUUUAGUGAAGGCUAUAUAUAUAUAUAGCGUGCGCGCGGUACAUUUCGGUUAAGGUCCAUACUUAGCUGCGUACAAGAGUCUAUCAUGAUACUAUAUGCUUGUUCAUAUUUUGGAAUUUGUUGUCUAUCGAAACAAUUCCUUGAUUAGUAUCACCUUUUACAUGUUUAACUUCGAUUUUAUUGUGUAAAAUUGGUAUGAUUUGUUUUUUCUUUCUGUGUGCACGUUCUUGUUUUUGGGCGUUGUGAGGUGGAUCAUUAUAUUUUAGAUUAUAAAUAUGGGCGGACCUACUUGACGACCAGCCGGGUUGGUCAUCCUCACUGCAUUUUCAGAUUUUCAGUUUUUCUCCAAGUUUUUUUAGGUUUUCAGAUAUUUUCUCAAGGUUUUUUAGCUUCGCCCCCACUAAACUUUCAUCAUGGGUCCACCCUUGCUUAUAAACAGGGAACACUGCUGGAGAUGAUUAACUUUUGAGUUGUCUUUCAUUCAUAACUGUAAAAACGUUUGUUAUGUAAAACCCGACUUCACUGCUUAAUCUGUUGUGUUACGGAUCAUUUUAUGCACCGUUUUCCCGGUCUUGAUGUAUGUGGAAAUAAUCUUGUACAAACAUUUGGCAGCAAUAGGUACUUAAUCUGUACAGUUUCUUCGUGCGAAUCAUGAUUUCGUAUGGUUAUUAUAUCUACUGGAAUCGAGAUUAGGUCGUAACUGCUAACAUUAUGAUGACAUGUACACGUAUUACACAAGAUUUUAUGUGCACCGUUGUGCUGUGUUAAUGACAAGGGUUUUGCAUGAAAUGAGUUUAAUUGCAUAUAGAAACUGGCAAGAGAAUUUAGUCUCUCCUCUUUAGCUCCCAUUCCGGAUUUACACAGCACAUAUUCUUUUUUUAAAGCACUGAACUUCUUAUGUAAGUAAUGAACAAUUUCUUAGACGUCGACUUAUCAUGGUGACUUCCUUAUCGAGGCUGACCGGAUGGAACUAGCCGAGAGGAGGAGGAAUAAGGAGGUUGUUCAGGGCACUCAUGUUAUCAAUGCUGUAUAGUGUUUCGGGUGUUGCGGACAGCUUAAUGUGGCAUAUUGUGAGGAUCCUAUUCUCGAAUGUGGGCUCGACAGACCUACUUGAGUGUGGCUUUCUUGUGAGUGAGUUCAUAGGUGCCUUUAAGUUGAGUGUAGCGAAGGGAUUCUAUCGCUUCUUAGAGUUGAAGGAACACGAGGCUAGACGAACUAGCUACUUUGGUUUACCUUUGCCAAUUAUAUAAUCUAUUAUCUAGAAAUCAGUAAGUAGUAGCCUCGAUUUGAGAUCUAAUUAGAUACGGGAUUGACGACUAGAAUUGAACAAAUUGCUUUAGCUGUUAAGGGAAGGAAUUUUUAAAACGUUACGGCAGCCAGCAGUACUGAAUAAAAACUUGUUCUUUGAGUUUAAGAAGCACAGGUUACUCAAAUUGAUCAACUUGUUCUCUCCAAGUAGUGCUAUACUUGUCAAUUGGCCUUGCAAUGCUAUGCUUCCUCGGCGCAGCUUCGUGUUUGCGGUGUUUUUACCGAUGUACAAGCUUGAUUCAUAUAUCUAAGGGAAAAUUUCAUAAGUGAGAGAUUAAUUAUGCUACAUUUUAAAAACAAGAAAACAAGUUUCAAAUUUCAAAAAUCAGAUUUUUAUUAAAAAAUCAUUUAUAGUUUAAUUAAUUAAUUUUAGUAAUUAAAUAUAUUUAAGUCACGUAUUUAUAUAAUUUGGUCACAAAUUGAUGAUUUAAUUCGUCGCUUAUUAUUUUUUGGUCACAAAUCAGAAAUUUUAUGUCACAAAUUAUUUUACGGUCACAAUUGAAAAAUUUUAUAGGUCACAGUUUGUUUAUCGGUCACAAAUCGAAAAAUUUAUAAGUCACAAUUUAUUUAUUGGUCACAAAUUACAAAUAUUACAAGUCACAGCUUAUUAUACAGUCACAAAUUAUCAAAUUAUUGGUCACAGAUUAACAAUAGUUUAGGUCACACAUUAUUUUUUUGUCACAAUUUAUCUUUUUCAUUGAUCACAUAUUAGUUAAAUAUAUUUAAGUCACAUAUUUAUUUAAUUUGGUCACAAAUUGAUGAUUUAGUCCCCCACUUAUUAUUUUUUGAUCACAAAUCAAAAAUUUUAUAUCACAAAUUAUUUUACGGUCACAAUUCAAAAAUUUUAUAAGUCACAGUUUGUUCAUCGGUCACAAAUCGAAAAAUUUAUAAGUCACGAUUUAUUUGUUGGUCACAAAUUAUAAAUAUUACAAAUCACAACUUAUUAUACAGUCACAAAUUAUCGGUCACAGAUUAACAAUUUUUUAGGUCACACAUUAUUUUUCGAUCACAAUUUAUUUUUUUUCAUUUGUCACAUAUUAUUUAUUGGUCACAGAUUAACCAAUUUAAUGGUCACAAUCAACCAAAUAAUUUAUGACCACCACCAAUACUGAUGAAAACCUCCGCAUUCGACACCACCACCACUGUUGCUGCCAGAUUAUUGCCACCACCUAAGAGCAACACUGAAAAACAAAUCGCCAAAACCACCAACACAGAUCCAUCGAACUGCAACCGCCAUCAACCAUUUGUGAUCCCCGUUGUGAUCUGUAACCCCCACCGUACCCGCAAUCGCCAUCAACCACUGCACCUGGCUAGAUCCACCAUCGCAGCCCACCGUCACAUACCACCUAUCGCUAGAGUCAUCGUCCAACAGCCAUUAGCAAAAAAUAAAAAAUAAAAAAACCAUCGCAG